UACGGAGGGUGCAAGCGUUAUCCGGAUUCACUGGGUUUAAAGGGUGCGUAGGUGGGCUGGUAAGUCAGUGGUGAAAUCUCCAGGCUUAACUUGGAAACUGCCAUUGAUACUAUCAGUCUUGAAUACCGUGGAGGUCAGCGGAAUAUGUCAUGUAGCGGUGAAAUGCUUAGAUAUGACAUAGAACACCAAUUGCGAAGGCAGCUGGCUACACGAAUAUUGACACUGAUGCACGAAAGCGUGGGGAUCAAACAGGGA
rnacentral:rRNA from 1 species